GUCCUGACCAAAUCUCGUGCCAGCAGUCGCGGUAAAACGAGGAGGGCAAGCGUUAAUCAUCAUAAUUCGGUCUAAAGGGUUCGUAGACUGCUUUUUAAGUCUUUAUCGCAAGGAAAGAUACUGUUAAGCUAGAGUUUUAUGGAGGAAGGAGGAAUUUUCGCAGUAAGGAUGAAAUCUAUAUAGCGAAGAGACCGCUAACAGCAUAAGCAUCCUUCCAGAUUUAUACUGACGUUGAGGGACCAAAGCUAGGGGAGCGAGCCGGAUUCGAUACCCGAGUAGUCCUAGCCUACAGCGAUGAAUGCUCAUUUUUAAAUAUUUUUAUAAUAUUUUUAUUGCUUUAUUUAAAAACUUUUAUAGAGUUCUAAAUAUUAUAAAUUUUAUAGUUUUAAAUUUAUUAAAUAUUUAUUUAAGGUCAAUUUCAAAUUCAAACAUUUUAUGAAAAGAAAAAUAAAUAAAUAAUUAGUUAUGUUUGGAUAAGGAUAAAAUUUAAAUUUAAGUUUUAAGUUUUAUUAUUUUUAUAACAAUUUUUAUGUAAAAAUACUGAUAUAAAUAAAAAUUUUAAAAUUAAAAUAUUUAUAAAUAUUUGGCUAUUUAUUUAUACUAUUGUAAAUUUAAGUACUUAGAAUGUAAGUCGUCAUUCGAAAUAGUAAGGAUAUUUUCAAAGUAAUAAAAAAUUGACUACCUAUAAAAAUAUUAAUAAUUAAGUUAUUUAAAAAUUUAGUGAAGACGUUAAGCAUUCCACCUGGAGAGUACGUCUGAAAGGAU
rnacentral:rRNA from 1 species